rnacentral:rRNA from 1 species
GACGAACGCUGGCGGCGUGCUUAACACAUGCAAGUCGAACGGAAAGGCCCUGCUCUUGUGGGGUGCUCGAGUGGCGAACGGGUGAGUAACACGUGAGUAACCUGCCCUUGUCUUUGGGAUAACUUCAGGAAACUGGGGCUAAUACCGGAUAGGAGCUCCUGAUGCAUGGUGGGGGUUGGUAAGUUUCGGCGGUUGGGGAUGGACUCGCGGCUUAUCAGCUUGUUGGUGGGGUAGUGGCUUACCAAGGCUUUGACGGGUAGCCGGCCUGAGAGGGUGACCGGCCACAUUGGGACUGAGAUACGGCGCAGACGCCUACGUGAGGCAGCAGUGGGGAAUAUUGCACAAUGGGCGGAAGCCUGAGGCAGCAACGCCGCGUGCGGGAUGACGGCCUUCGGGUUGUAAACCGCUUUCGCCUGUGACGAAGCGUGAGUGACGGUAAUGGGUAAAGAAGCACCGGCUAACUACGUG